GCUCCGCGGGCCUCUCAUUCUAACGCACGGAGCUGAGGGAGGAGGCGGCGAUGGCGGCCCCGGAGCCGGAAAUCCCGUCGCCGGCCGCAGGCACUGAUCUGGAGUGGUUUGAGAAGUCGGAGGAAAUUCACGGCUCCCCGGUGGAACUGCUGGAGACCGCCUCUGCCCCGGAGGCCCCCGGCUCUGCGGAGCACUGCUGCCCGAGAGACUGCAUGGUGCCGGUGGUGUUUCCCGGGCCGGUGAGCCAGGAGGGCUGCUGCCGCUUUACUUGUGAGCUGCUCAAGCACAUCAUGUAUCAGCGCCAGCAGCUGCCUCUGCCCUACGAACAGCUGAAGCACUUCUACCGAAAACCUUCUCCCCAGGCAGAAGACGUGGUGAGGAAGAAGCCCCGGACGGCCGCCGAGGCGAGCAGCAGGAAAUGCCAACAAGCCCUGGCGGAACUGGAGAGUGUCCUCAGUCACCUGGAGGACCUCUUUGCCCGAACCCUGGUACCACGAGUGCUGAUCCUGCUUGGGGGCAGUGCCCUAAGCCCCAAGGAGUUCUACGAACUCGACCUGUCCCGGCUGGCUCCCUACUGUGUGGACCAGAGCCUGAAUACAGCAGCCUGUUUGCGCCGGCUCUUCCGAGCCAUUUUCCUGGCCGAUGCCUUUAGCGAGCUGCAGGCCCCUCCGCUCAUGGGCACCAUCGUCAUGGCGCAGGGGCACCGUGACUGUGGAGAAGAUUGGUUUCGACCCAAGCUCAACUACCGCGUGCCCAGCCGCGGCCACAAACUGACCGUGAGCCUGUCCUGCGGCAGGCCUCCCGACCCAGCAGUGGCUUCGGAUGAUUACAUCUGGUUCCAGGCCCCAGUGACGCUGAAAGGCUUCCACGAGUGACGGAGGACGCUUCCUCAUCCUGGAACUGGACGGCCGAAUGGCCUGGCUCCCUUCGGCACCGAGCCACCCGACUCUCGCUUGGAGCUGGCGUUGCUUCCCAGUGAGAGGGGAAGGCACUGUCCUGGCUGCCUCCCCUCCUCACACUUCCGGGGGGCUGACGGUGUGUGGCUGGGACCAUGGUAUUCAUCCCUGAGCAACAGCUUGUUGAAUCAAAGGUUGAUUUUCCCAGAGGGUGCUGGGUCAGGUGUUUCUGUUUGGGCUUGCAGAGCAAAGCCGGGUCCACAGAGGGACACUCCUAUGGAGGCGGCCCUUCUCUGCUUGUUUGUCGUGUCCGUGCCGAGUUUUUACUGGGGAUGUAAAGGUGGAUGUGACUCAUGAACUUAAAUACAAAACAGAUGGAUUCAGAGUAAACUUUCCUGGAACGCUUGACUUACAGAGACCUUUCCGGCUGAGACUAAAGGGUUUUGGCUUUCUCCCGGGCCUCUUCUGCUGCAGGUCUUCCAGGAUAUUUUAUUACAGAGUUAUACAGAGAGAAGAAGAGGCAGAGGAGAGAGAAGAAGAGGUCGGUCGGUCUUCCAUCCGCUGGUUCACUCCCCAGUUGGCUGCAGUGGCCGGAGCUGCACUAAUCCAGAGCCAGGAGCUUCUUCUGGGUCUCCCACAAGCGGGUGCAGGGGUCCAGGCAUUUGGGACUCUUCUGCUGCUUUCCCAGACCAUGGCAGAGAACUGGGUCAAAAGUGGAGUGGCUGGGGCUUGAACCGGUGCCCAUGUGGGAUGCCAGCCCUGCAGGCGGUAACUUUACCUGCUACACCACAGUGCUGGCCCCUGUAAGUAGUUUGACAGCAGAGCUGGGAGUGGAGUCCCGUCAGCUCCUUCCUGCACUGACUUCAAGCCCAACAUUCUCUCCUUGCCGCAUGCUGAUCUUGGUGACCCUUGCGUUCUCUAUGUCCAAAGCAAAAAUGACCUUUGAUGUGUGGGAAGAACUGUGGUGAGGGACUGAGCUUAGCAGGCCCCAUCGAGAGCCCAGUGCUUUAGGGGAAGUCUCUGGCCCUGCGCUUGGUCUACCAUAGACUCUAAGCGGGGGAGGAGCUCCUCCACAGACUUGGCACCCUCACGUGCCCGGAGCUACAGCUCUGUUCCCAGGGCUUGGAGGGUCGCAGGUGCUGCUGGCGGGGCUCCUGUCAGCCAGGGGAAGGCAGCGGCAUUCCGUCCUCAUGGAGGCAGCUGUCAGCGAAACACAGGGCACGUGCCAUGCCUGGGGAGCUGAGGCCUCGGGUGAGACCCUGCAGAUCCCUCCAGCUGUUCCGGAGUCUCCACAGGCCUGGUCACCCUAGCCUGUCUGCCCUUCAGAUCUGGGGAGGGGACUGAGGAAAGAACAGGGAGGGGCUCAGUCACCGGCAGAGGCCCCAGGACUGCCCUGGGGUCCUGUGGGAUUUGCUCCCUGAGGCCAGAUGUGCCGUCUGGCGCUCUGCCCAGCCUUCUCUGUAGCUGUUUGCUGCGAGCAGUCACUGUUGGCAGUGUUGUCCUUAAGCCAAACCCCGCCUUCCUGCCGUGUGGGUCCCCCUCAGCUGCAUUGGAGGUGCCUCUCCUCAUCCUUGCUGGUCCCUGGGGUAGGAGAGCAGCUGCUCAUUUCCCCAGUAAGAAAGGUGAAAAGAAUCCUCUCCCUGCUGGUGCCGGAGAUAGCUGUGUGCUUAUGAACAGGUGAUACAUAAUUGCGAGACUGUUCCAUUAGGUAACCUAUGCAAAGUGCUUGAAACAGUGUAAAAGUUUUUGCCUUAGUAUGUAACACACAAAGGGAAAUUCUCAUUAUCCUUGCACUGAACUUUCUCAUGAGCUUGUUGAAGCCCCUCCUACAUACACUGUUUGGAGCACUUGCAUAUGGUACCUAGGCCCAACUGCCUUACAGUGUAUGCGUUAUUGUUCCCACUUUAUAGAUGAGGCUUAGGGAGAUCGGGUUACUUGCUCUGGUGGUGAAAUGUGGAUUCGAACCCAGCCCCCUGGCUCCAGAGGCUGCGCACUUCCCAUGGCGCAGUAGGGCUGUGUCUUACUGGGCAACAGUGAGUCAGGAUUUGUUCUGCCAAAGGCGUUGGCAUUGGGAAGCGGCAGCACUUCCCUCCCUGGUUCCUGACGUGGAGCCUGCCAUUAGCAGGCGCUGAGUAAACAUGGCUCAGUGAAAACAAACCACUUGGGCUCUUUGAUGUGCUGGGGUCACUUGAAGCAUGUUCCAUCAGCCGGCAUUCGGCCUGUGUUCUGCCUGAUGCCUUGACCCUAGGGACGAGGACUCGGGCCACAUCUCCCACUCAGGGAAGGGAAAGGCCGAGUGGGAGUGGAGGAGUUGUGAACAGAAGGGGAAAGGGCUGUGGAUUGUUCUGAGGUGGAAGACACAUCAAACCGAGUCAGGUCCCUGAGAUAUUAGUUUUAAAAGCCUACAUAAGCAGUGCCCAGAUAAUCAAAACAAAGCAAUUAUCUGGGCGGUUUAGACACUUGUUUCUCUGAUGUGGGGCCCACGCCAUUCUGAUUCCAUGAGCCCUCUAGAAAGGAAUCCAGAAAUAAGCGCAAUUAAUAGUAACAAGCCCAUCUCCUCCGCUGGCCGGAAGCUUGCUGGGAAACUUGUUUAUGUUUGUCUUUGUCUGGGGACUGCAGAGGUGGCCAUGAAGUAGUCUGAAGCCCAAGGAGGAGGGGUCCCGGCUGCUUGCUACCAUUUGGGUCUGAGAGCCACACUGUAGGGCCCAAGAUAGGUAAAUGUAGGUGGGAGCUGAUGGGAAAAUGCAACCUGUAAAAUGUCGCCCUUUUCUGUACCCCUCUGCACACCCUCCUUUCCCAAGGUGUGGCCUAAACCUUGCCCCAUUGCCUAAUCAUCCUUCACCAUUUAGGUAGGAAGGUCUAUGGAAGGCGUAGAUAAAGAGACAUCUGGUGACCGUGGAAGAAACUAGAACUGAGGGACCCAUUCUGUAGGGUCUGGCUUGGGGCAGGAGAGGGGUGUGGGUGGGGGGUUAAUUGGCAGAAUCUUAGGGAUCCCAGUUUCCUAACAAUUCUUAGGUCAAGAAGUGACAUUACUGGGCUGGCAUGGUGGCCCAGUGGGUUAAGCCACCGCCUGCAACUCCAGCAUAACACACGAGCACAGGUUCCAGUCCCAGCUGCUCCACUUCCGAUCCAGCUCCCUGCUAAUGCGCCUGGGAAGGCAGCGGAAGAUGGCCCAAAUGCUUGGGCCCCUGCAUCCACGUGGGAGACGCAGAUGCAGUUCCAGACUCCUGUCUUCAGCCUAGCCCAGUCCUGGUCCCUGUGGCCAUUUGAGGAGUGAACCAGUGGGUAGAAGAUCCCUCUCGCUCUGCCUUUUCAAGAAUUAACAAUAAAUCUUAAAAAACCAAGUGACAUUACUGGGGAGAAAUAAUACAGCUAGUGGCAGUGUUGGUGCUCUGCAUUGUUUUUCCAAGUUCCCAAUA